ensembl:lncRNA LOXL1-AS1 LOXL1 antisense RNA 1
GGGCCCGGGGGGCCCGGAGCAGUUUCCAGUGGCCAGGGGUACGCGCGGCCGGAGGGGCGCCGGGGCCGUACUCACCGCGGCCGUUCUGGUUGGGCCGGUACACGCUGCCCACGCUGAGGCGGCCCUGCUGCGCGCCGUUCCGCUCCCCACCCGGCGGGGGCGUGUCGGAGCUGCGCACCGGCAGGAGCUCCUGCCUGCCUGGAUGAAGAGGAGGUCAAGACUUUGUCCCCCACUCCGCAAGAUACCCUCUCUGUUCCGGAGCGGUGGGUCCCUCCCCUGUUAGGACCUUGUCUCCCUCAGGACUGGACCUGGAUCCUGGGCCUGCAGUCAGAUUGCCAGUUUCACUUAGAGGUGGAAAUGUCAACCCACUGGUUGGAAUGGGAAGGUAGGGUGUGGGGUCGGGGAGUACCUUCAUUUCUAUCUGCCCAGGAGGCCAGCCGCUUCCUGCAUAGCAUUUCCUUCCUGCAGUAUGGGAAGGACCAGGCUUUCUCAGACCACAGAAUCUUGAGAGCCAUUUCCACGUGGAGCAAGUGGUGGCUACCAGCCUUGGGUCUACAUAACUAGGGCCUCAUCCCUGGCCCAAGAAUCCUGCUCCACAGCCUUCUUGUGUCCCUGUAGGAGGAGAAACACCUGGCAACUUAAAUUUUUUAAAAUAACUUUUUUUUUUUUUUGAGACGGAGUCUCGCUCUGUCUCCCAGGCUGGAGUGCAGUGGUGCGAUCUCGGCUCACUGCAAGCUCCGCCUCCCAGGUUCAUGCCAUUCUCCUGCCUCAGCCUCCCAAGUAGCUGGGACUACAGGCACCUGCCAUCACGCACGGCUAAUUUUUUUGUAUUUUUUUAGGUGAGACAGGAUUUCACCAUGUUAGCCAGGAUGGUCUUGAUCUCCUGACCUCAUGAUCUGCCCACCUCGGCCUCCCAAAGUGCUGGGCUUACAGGCGUGAGCCACCGUGCCCGGCCAAAAAUAACUUUUAAAAACAUGAGUAUAGCAUACACACACACAAAAGUCCACAAAUCCUAGGUGUACCACUUGAUGAAUGAUCCCAACGUGAGCACACCUCUGGAUUACCACCUGGAUCAAGAAAUAGGACAUCACAGCAGCUGGCAGCUUCCAAGGAGAAGCUCUGGAAAGUUCUGCCUGUCUCAGCACCUGGCUGGAUCGGAAACGAGUUUUCUUUAACCAGAUUU